CACGUAGGGUGCGAGCGUUGUCCGGAAUUAUUGGGCGUAAAGAGCUCGUAGGCGGUGUGUCGCGUCGGCCGUGAAAACCUGCAGCUUAACUGUGGGCGUGCGGUCGAUACGGGCAUCACUGGAGUUCGGCAGGGGAGACUGGAAUUCCUGGUGUAGCGGUGAAAUGCGCAGAUAUCGGGAGGAACACCAGUAGCGAAGGCGACACUCUGGGCCGGUACUGACGCUGAGGAGCGAAGGCCAGGGGAGCAAACGGGG
rnacentral:rRNA from 1 species